rnacentral:rRNA from 1 species
UACGGAGGGCGCAAGCGUUGUUCGGAAUCAUUGGGCGUAAAGGGCGCGUAGGCGGCCGGGCAAGUCGGAGGUGAAAUCCCUCGGCUCAACUGAGGAAUUGCCUUCGAUACUGUUCGGCUUGAGUCCUGGAGAGGGUAGCGGAAUUCCCGGUGUAGCGGUGAAAUGCGUAGAGACCGGGAAGAACACCAGUGGCGAAGGCGGCUACCUGGACAGGUACUGACGCUGAAGCGCGAAAGCUAGGGGAGCAAACAGG